GGUUCCAUAGCUUCGUGGUUCAGCGUUCGCUUCUCAAGCGAGUGGUCGGUGGUUCGAUUCCACCUGGUGCCG
rnacentral:tRNA from 1 species